rnacentral:rRNA from 1 species
GAUGAACGCUAGCGGCAGGCUUAACACAUGCAAGUCGAGGGGCAGCGGGAGUAGCAAUACUUGCCGGCGACCGGCGCAAGGGUGCGUAACGCGUGAGCAACAUGCCCGUAUCAGGGGGAUAAUCCAUGGAAACGUGGUCUAAUACUUCAUAGUAAAUUUUUGGGGCAUCUCAAAGAUUUUAAAGCUUUGGUGGAUACGGAUUGGCUCGCGUGACAUUAGCUAGAUGGUAAGGUAACGGCUUACCAUGGCUACGAUGUCUAUGGGUUCUGAGGGGAAGGUCCCCCACACUGGAACUGAGACACGGUCCAGACUCCUACGGGAGGCAGCAGUGAGGAAUAUUGGACAAUGGAUGGAAAUCUGAUCCAGCCAUGCCGCGUGCAGGAAGACGGCCCUAUGGGUUGUAAACUGCUUUUGUAUGGGAGCAAUAAGGUCUACGUGUAGACCGAUGAGAGUACCAUACGAAUAAGCACCGGCUAACUCCGUGCCAGCCGCCGCCGUAA